UAGCCAGAAAGGUUAUGAUGUCCCAUCUCC
rnacentral:piRNA from 1 species